UACGUAGGGUGCAAGCGUUGUCCGGAAUUAUUGGGCGUAAAGAGCUCGUAGGCGGUCUGUCGCGUCGGCUGUGAAAACUCGGGGCUCAACCCCGAGCCUGCAGUCGAUACGGGCAGACUAGAGUGCUGUAGGGGAGACUGGAAUUCCUGGUGUAGCGGUGAAAUGCGUAGAUAUCAGGAGGAAUACCGGUGGUGUAGACGGCUCUCUGGACCGCCACUGACGCUGAGACACGAAAGCGUGGGUAGCAAACAGG
rnacentral:rRNA from 1 species